rnacentral:rRNA from 1 species
UACGUAGGGUGCAAGCGUUGUCCGGAAUUAUUGGGCGUAAAGAGCUCGUAGGCGGUUUGUCGCGUCGAAUGUGAAAACCCGGGGCUCAACCCCGGGCCUGCAUUCGAUACGGGCAGACUAGAGUUCGGUAGGGGAGUCUGGAAUUCCUGGUGUAGCGGUGAGAUGCGCAGAUAUCGAGAGGAACACCGGUGGCGAAGGCGGCGAUCUGGACGAUGACUGACGCUGAGACGCGAAAGCGUGGGGAGCAAACAGG